ensembl:lncRNA
AUGUCUCAUGCUUCAGAAAUCAGUGACGGCGCCUGUGAUCAUGUGACUAAAUUCAGAUUGGUGCAUGCAGACUGUACGUGGAGCAGACAGACUGCAGACUGUCAGCGUGUCGAGGGACGACUGUCAGACGCCAGGAUUUACGAGUCUUCAUCAGAAGAUGGAGUCACAUGGACAGUGGUCAGUCCUGUCGUCUUCACCUAUCGAGUCGUUCAGUGUGAGCGGCUUCUGGAUGCAAGCAAUGACACCUUACUGUUUGGCCAUAUCUCCAGCCCUACGGAGCUCCAGGCCCUUAAGAACAACAGUGAAGUAAUGAAGCGAUUCAUUGUGAUUGACGAGACUGUUAAUGAUCUAUACGGCUCCCAGGUGGCAGCAUAUUUCCAAGCGAGAGGAGUGACGUACAAGAUCCUUCCCUUACCCACAACUGAGGAGAACAAGUCCAUGACUCUAGUGACCAGAAUCUUGGAGGAGGUCCAUAAGUUUGGGAUUGACCGCCGUACGGAGCCCAUUAUUGCUAUCGGUGGUGGUGUGUGUCUGGAUAUCACAGGUCUCGCUGCAUCACUGUAUCGCAGACGUACUCCGUAUAUCCGUGUCCCUACUACUCUGCUGGCUUACAUUGAUGCCAGUGUGGGGGCAAAGACUGGGGUCAAUUUUGCCAACUGUAAAAAUAAGCUAGGGUCAUACAUCCCACCCGUGGCAGCGUUCCUGGACAGGAGUUUCCUCUUCACUCUGCCACGCCGCCAUAUUUCUAAUGGAAUGGCUGAAAUGCUGAAGAUGGCGCUGAUGAAACACAGAGGACUCUUUGAACUUUUGGAGAAGGAUGGCAGAUAUUUGUUGGACACCAGUUUCCAACCAUCAGGGAGAAUGCCAGAAAAUAUACAUGGGGACGCAGCGAGUGUAUCCACGAGACUGGCCAUUGAAACCAUGCUGGAGGAACUUGCCCCAAACUUGUGGGAGGAUGACCUGGACCGGCUGGUGGACUUUGGCCAUAUCAUCAGUCCAGAGCUUGAAAUGAAAAUACUUCCUGCGCUUCUGCAUGGAGAGGCGGUGAACAUUGACAUGGCUUUCAUGGUCUAUGUGGCUCACGAAAGGGGCUUUCUGACAGAAGAGGAGAAAAGACGUAUCAUUGUGUGUAUGCGGAGCCUAGAUCUUCCAGUGUGGCAUUCAGACUGCACUCUGGAUCUAGUACUGAAGUCCCUUACUGAACGACUCAAGCACUCAGGAGGAUUUCUGAGAAUGCCUCUACCCACAGCGCUAGGAAAAGCAAGAAUCUUCAAUGACACAGAAGAGAGCAUUGUGUGUCAAGCGUUCAAGAAAUGGUGUGAUGAACAGUGUGAAACCACCAUGAAACCAGAAUAACACACCACAGGAAAUGUUGAGUCUGAUUAUAUUCCUGAACCAAGAAAAACAUGUGUGCUGCAAAAUGAAACGCAUCAAAUCAUGAAUGAAAACCUCCAGAAAUUGUGAAAACCACUCAGUUUUAUUUCAAUGUCUGUAACAGUUUCAUUCUCAAUACACGUGACAAGCUUUAAAACCCAACAAUGAAAUGCUACUUUCCUCAUAAAGCUCACAUUAAGAGUGAAAGGUGACUUUCCCAACAGGUUUAAAGUGGGCUGGCUUCCAGAACUGAAUUCAUAGGAAAUUAAUGCUUUGUAAAGGAAAAAAAAAAAAAUCAACAUUACAAGCUAUCUUAAGUCCUUUCUUAAAUAAUGUUUGGUUAAGCUUCAAAAAUAUAACACAAAAGUAUUUUAACAAAACGAAAGCCAUUUCUAGCCAAGAUACUUCUAUAAAAGACAGACUGUGUUUGUUAUUAAAAGAUAUUUGGUUGAAGUUCCACAGAAGCCUGUUUUGAAGGCACCUUUCAUCGACAUCACUGAUACAUAUGCAUUCAUAUAGGAGCCUUGUGCUUUAACUGUUACCUGAUUGUCUGAAUUAUUGCUCAAAAAAAAAAAAAAAAAAUUGCAACAGCCAGUUUUGCUAUAAAUUCACAACGAGAUACUUAACAGUUUCACUGCAUAUUUAGACUCCACUUGGAAUUUGGCCACAUUUUAGUAGUCAACACUGUGUAACAUUACAUUCAGAGGAAGUUUUGUAGUGCUUCAAGACACUUCAGCUUUAAUCCAGAAUACAAUACAAUCCUGAUCAAAACCUAGGUUCGGUGGUCCUACUGAGAUAUCAUCCCCUCUACUUCACCCGAGGACCGAACCCGUUAGGUUCCACAGUCUAAGACUAAGUCUAAAAUCACAAAUAUAGAACAGAAGAUUUCAUUUAAAGGGAUAGUUCACACAAAAUAGAAAAUUAGGAACAUCGUCUUCUUACUCUCAUGUAGCUCCAAACCCAUGUACUGUACAUUUUUACAAAUUUGGGGUUUAUUUUUUUGUCCUUUUUGGAAAUUAGCAGUCCCUGUGAAAGCAUGGAACAAAAAAUAAAUAGGUAAUUGUGACUUUCUAGCA